rnacentral:rRNA from 1 species
UGGGGAAUAUUGGACAAUGGGCGCAAGCCUGAUCCAGCAACGCCGCGUGGAGGACGAAGGUCUUCGGAUCGUAAACUCCUGUCAGACGGGACGAAGGCUUCCGGGCGAACAGUCUGGAAGCUUGACGGUACUGUCAGAGGAAGCCCCGGCUAACUCCGUGCCAGCAGCCGCGGUAAUACGGAGGGGGCUAGCGUUAUUCGGAAUUAUUGGGCGUAAAGGGCGCGUAGGCGGCCCGGUAAGUCAAAGGUGAAAUCCCUCGGCUCAACUGAGGAACUGCCUUUGAAACUGUCGGGCUUGAGGCCGGGAGGGGGUAGCGGAAUUCCCAGUGUAGCGGUGAAAUGCGUAGAUAUUGGGAGGAACACCGGUGGCGAAGGCGGCUACCUGGACCGGUUCUGACGCUGAUGCGCGAAAGCGUGGGUAGCAAACAGGAUUAGAUACCCUGGUAGUCCACGCUGUAAACGAUGAGUGCUCGGUGUCGCGGGUAUCGACCCCUGCGGUGCCUUAGCUAACGCGUUAAGCACUCCGCCUGGGGAGUACGGUCGCAAGGCUGA